rnacentral:rRNA from 1 species
CCUACGGGUGGCAGCAGUGAGGAAUAUUGGUCAAUGGUCGCGAGACUGAACCAGCCAAGUCGCGUGAAGGAUGAAUGCCCUAAGGGUUGUAAACUUCUUUUGUCAGGGAAUAAAGUGAGGCACGUGUGCCUUUUUGUGUGUACUUUAUGAAUAAGGAUCGGCUAACUCCGUGCCAGCAGCCGCGGUAAUACGGAGGAUCCGAGCGUUAUCCGGAUUUAUUGGGUUUAAAGGGAGCGUAGAUGGGUUGUUAAGUCAGUUGUGAAAGUUUGCGGCUCAACCGUAAAAUGGCAAUUGAUACUGGCAGUCUUGAGUAGAGGUGAGGUAUGCGGAAUGCGGGGUGUAGCGGUGAAAUGCUUAGAUAUCACGAAGAACUCCGAUUGCGAAGGCAGCUUACUAAACUGCCACUGACAUUGAUGCUCGAAAGUGUGGGUAUCAAACAGGAUUAGAUACCCUAGUAGUC